GCAGCAAAAACAUGUUUACACGAGUCGAUUGGCUGCAAUAUAAACGCACAAAGAUUCACUGUCCAACUAUUAAGAGAGAAAAAGUCCAACUAUUAAGAGAGAAAAAGUCCAACUAUUAAGAGAGAAAGAAAAAGUCCAACUAUUAAGAGAGGAAAAAGUCCAACUAUUAAGAGAGAAAAAGUCCAACUAUUAAGAGAGG